rnacentral:rRNA from 1 species
UGAGGAAUAUUGGUCAAUGGGCGAAAGCCUGAACCAGCCAUCCCGCUGGCAGGAAGACGGCCCAAGGGUUUUUAACCUGUUUUUCCGGGGGGGGAAACUUUCGGUUGAAUGGGGAUUGGACGUUACCCGGGGAAUAAGAAUCGGCUAACCCGUUGCCAGCAGCGGCGGUAAUACGGAGGUUGCGGCCUUAAUCCGGAUUUAUUGGGUUUAAAGGGUGCGUAGGCGGAUCGAUAAGUCAGUGGUGAAAACCUGCAGCUUAACUGUAGACUUGCCGUUGAUACUGUUGGUCUUGAGUAUGGUCAAGGUAGGCGGAAUGUGGAAUGUAGCGGUGAAAUGCUUAGAUAUUACACAGAACACCGAUUGCGAAGGCAGCUUACUGGACCAUCACUGACGCUGAUGCACGAAAGCGUGGGGAUCGAACAG